rnacentral:rRNA from 1 species
CCAGACUCCUACGGGAGGCAGCAGUGGGGGAUAUUGCACAAUGGGGGCAACCCUGAUGCAGCGACGCCGCGUGAGCGAUGGAGUACUUCGGUAUGUAAAGCUCUGUCAGCAGGGAAGAGAAUGACGGUACCUGACCAAGAAGCCCCGGCUAACUACGUGCCAGCAGCCGCGGUAAUACGUAGGGGGCGAGCGUUAUCCGGAUUUACUGGGUGUAAAGGGAGCGUAGACGGUUCUGCAAGUCUGAAGUGAAAGCCCGUGGCUUAACCGCGGAACGGCUUUGGAAACUGUGGAACUGGAGUGCUGGAGAGGCAAGCGGAAUUCCUAGUGUAGCGGUGAAAUGCGUAGAUAUUAGGAGGAACACCAGUGGCGAAGGCGGCGUGCUGGACAGUAACUGACGUUGAGGCUCGAAAGCGUGGGGAGCAAACAGGAUUAGAUACCCCUGUAAAU